ACCAGGAUGGCCGAGUGGUUAAGGCGUUGGACUUAAGAUCCAAUGGACAUGUGUCCUCGUGGGUUCGAACCCCACUCCUGGUA
rnacentral:tRNA from 2 species